AUCCUUCAAGGUCAUUCAAAUGAUGAUGAGUUUAAUCAUGAGUCAUUCAUGAUAUGUGCAGCUUUCUUGUUACGCUAUGCACAUGACUUAUCUGACA